UUCUUUUGCGUCGUCGUUCAAGUCCUUCACUAAAUCUUCUAACUUCUCACGAAAUUCUCUCUCUGUAUGAACCGUGCAUAAUAAUUUCAAUUUUCCAAUCACACGAUUGCUCUUCUGCCGACGCGACAUGUUGGCAGCAAAGUGCCUCAUGCACCACCUAUGCACAAGCGGUGGAAAACCAUCAAUGUGGUCCUUUGCACAAUUUAGAAGCCCAUGAUGCCUAUCUGAUAUCAUACACACUAUCCGUGAAGGUCCAAGAACAUUUACCCGAACAAGUUUCAUAAACCAUGACCAACUCUCAUUAUUCUCACUCUCGACCAAGGCAAAAGCAAGAGGCACAAUCUGUU
rnacentral:lncRNA from 1 species